UACGGAGGGGCCUAGCGUUGUUCGGAAUUACUGGGCGUAAAGCGCACGUAGGCGGAUUGUUUAGUCAGGGGUGAAAUCCCGAGGCUCAACCUCGGAACUGCCUUUGAUACUGGCAAUCUCGAGUCCGGAAGAGGUGAGUGGAAUUCCUAGUGUAGAGGUGAAAUUCGUAGAUAUUAGGAAGAACACCAGUGGCGAAGGCGGCUCACUGGUCCGGUACUGACGCUGAGGUGCGAAAGCGUGGGGAGCAAACAGG
rnacentral:rRNA from 1 species